AAGCGAAAGUGACGGUACCUGCAGAAGAAGCACCGGCUAACUACGUGCCAGCAGCCGCGGUAAUACGUAGGGUGCGAGCGUUAUCCGGAAUUAUUGGGCGUAAAGAGCUCGUAGGCGGUUUGUCGCGUCUGUCGUGAAAGUCCGGGGCUUAACCCCGGAUCUGCGGUGGG
rnacentral:rRNA from 1 species